UACGGAGGGUGCGAGCGUUGUCCGGAUUCAUUGGGUUUAAAGGGUGCGUAGGCGGGUUAUUAAGUCAGUGGUGAAAGCCCACAGCUCAACUGUGGAACUGCCAUUGAUACUGGUGACCUUGAGUUCAGUUGAGGUAUGCGGAAUUUAUGGUGUAGCGGUGAAAUGCAUAGAUACCAUAAAGAACACCGAUUGCGAAGGCAGCAUACUGGGCUUGGACUGACGCUGAGGCACGAAAGCGUGGGGAUCGAACAGG
rnacentral:rRNA from 1 species